AUUACCAACUAAUUAUUUGCUAUAGUGGCAUCUUAAAUUACUUAUGCAGGCAGCAUGGUUUGAGAAUUGAGACAUAUAUCCUUCUCUAAUCUCUUUGUUGUUUCCCCUGUUUUCAUUGAACUUUUCAUUCUAUUAAUAUUUGAUAAGAAAUUUCUUUUGGACUUGUUUAAGUUAGCAUUUACUAAUGUCUUUUUGAAAUGGUUUCAGAGUGCUGUAUAAACAAGUAUAACUAGAAGGUCAAGCCUAUGUUGUUUCAAGUUGGCAAAUGUAAGUUAUGCAGGCUAGUUAUCUUGGGUAGUUAGUUUAGGCUCUUGCUCAUAUUUCUACUAAACAAGAUUUUAAUCAAUUUAUGCUAAUAUUGUGUUCACUUGUUGCAUUUUAUGCUCAUAUGUCUAGGGACUUUGAUACAUCAUGCAUCUUUUUUUUUAUGGCAAUGCAUCAUGCAUCUAUUUUUAGACUAUCUUGCAGUAGAUAAGAAUUUAC
rnacentral:lncRNA from 1 species